UUUAAUUCAAAAAUUACCAAAAAAAUAUUAUUGGCUUCUUGACUUGUUAUAUUCAUUCCUCUUCUGUUUGGUGUUGAUCAAGGUUGAAUUGAUUCAACUUUGAUCAAAUUCAUUGGAUCUUGUUGUUUGAGAAUCCUUAAGGAUCAUCACCUAGAGAGUUGAAUGAAUUUGAUCAAGGAUGAGUUAUCCCUUGAUCAAUUGGGAUUGGUUGUUG
rnacentral:lncRNA from 1 species